GGAGAUAUAGCUCAGUGGUAGAGCCCUUGCCUAGUAUGCAUGAGAUCCUGGGUAUGAUCCCCAGCACCA
rnacentral:tRNA from 1 species